rnacentral:rRNA from 1 species
AACGAACGCUGGCGGCAGGCCUAACACAUGCAAGUCGAACGCUCUAGCAAUAGAGAGUGGCAGACGGGUGAGUAACGCGUGGGAACCUUCCCAAUGGUGCAGAAUAGCCCAGGGAAACUUGGGGUAAUACUGCAUAAGCCCUUCGGGGGAAAGGUUUAUCGCCAUUGGAUGGGCCCGCGUCGGAUUAGCUAGUUGGUGAGGUAAUGGCUCACCAAGGCAACGAUCCGUAGCUGGUUUGAGAGAAUGACCAGCCACACUGGGACUGAGAUACGGCCCAGACUCAUACGGGAGGCAGCAGUGGGGAAUCUUGGACAAUGGGCGCAAGCCUGAUCCAGCCAUGCCGCGUGAGUGACGAAGGCCUUAGGGUUGUAAAGCUCUUUUGCCGGGGACGAUAAUGACGGUACUCGGAGAGUAAGUCCCGGCUAACUUCGUGCCAGCCGCAGCAGUAA